AUGGUCACCAAGCACAUCUUUUUCUGCCAUGGCAGCCUGUACCAGGUGUGGAAGAACACCGGUGCCACCGUCAAACUGGGCAGCGGGAACUUCAGGAUAUGUGCCGACGAGAUUUUCCUCCUGAGGUACGACCCGGGAUGCUGGCCAUGUUGGGACGUGGUGAAGGAUCUGGGAGGCUGCUCCGUGUUCCUCGGCAAAAGCAGCAGCCCGGUGGUGGUGCGACCCACUGUCCCAGAGGUGAGAGCUGAUUGCGCGUGCUGGAUAGACUGGCCGGACGUUCCCAUGGUGUGUGAUAUAGCCACCGGAACCUCCAAGCCAUGGGUGCUUCCUUGUGGUGCGUUAAAAGGUGACUGCUGGUACUUCGGUCAUGACGACAGGACGAGCAUCGACGGGGAGGGGGGAAAUUAG
rnacentral:rRNA from 1 species